rnacentral:rRNA from 1 species
AACGAACGCUGGCGGCAGGCUUAACACAUGCAAGUCGAACGCCCCGCAAGGGGAGUGGCAGACGGGUGAGUAACGCGUGGGAAUCUACCCAGUUCCACGGAACAACUGAGGGAAACUUCAGCUAAUACCGUAUACGCCCUACGGGGGAAAGAUUUAUCGGAAUUGGAUGAGCCCGCGUUGGAUUAGCUAGUUGGUGGGGUAAUGGCCUACCAAGGCGACGAUCCAUAGCUGGUCUGAGAGGAUGAUCAGCCACACUGGGACUGAGACACGGCCCAGACUCCUACGGGAGGCAGCAGUGGGGAAUAUUGGACAAUGGGCGAAAGCCUGAUCCAGCCAUGCCGCGUGAGUGAUGAAGGCCUUAGGGUUGUAAAGCUCUUUCAGUGGGGACGAUAAUGACGGUACCCACAGAAGAAGCCCCGGCUAACUUCGUGCCAGCCGCCGCGGUAAUAC